rnacentral:tRNA from 1 species
GGAUAUAGCUCACUGGUAGGGUGUGUGCUUAGCAUGCACGAGGUCCUGGGUUCAAUCCCAGCACCUCCA